ACACUCCUGCGGGAGGCAGCAGUGGGGAAUAUUGGACAAUGGGCGCAAGCCUGAUCCAGCCAUGCCGCGUGAGUGAUGAAGGCCCUAGGGUUGUAAAGCUCUUUCACCGGAGAAGAUAAUGACGGUAUCCGGAGAAGAAGCCCCGGCUAACUUCGUGCCAGCAGCCGCGGUAAUACGAAGGGGGCUAGCGUUGUUCGGAAUUACUGGGCGUAAAGCGCACGUAGGCGGAUCGAUCAGUCAGGGGUGAAAUCCCAGGGCUCAACCCUGGAACUGCCUUUGAUACUGUCGAUCUGGAGUAUGGAAGAGGUGAGUGGAAUUCCGAGUGUAGAGGUGAAAUUCGUAGAUAUUCGGAGGAACACCAGUGGCGAAGGCGGCUCACUGGUCCAUUACUGACGCUGAGGUGCGAAAGCGUGGGGAGCAAACAGGAUUAGAUACCCCUGUAGUCCCAU
rnacentral:rRNA from 1 species